rnacentral:lncRNA from 1 species
AAUCUCGUCCCCUUAGCUGGCCUGCUCGACUCCAAAUCGCCAUCGAAACCGCAAGCGCAUUGUCCUUUCUCCACACCAAAGGUAACACAAUCUGAACAUACACAUACACACAAUGAGAUUAUAGACUAAUGAUGAUAACUUCUCUGAUACAGGAAUCAUACACAGAGACGUCAAGACUACUAACAUUCUCCUAGAUAGCAAUUACCAAGUGAAAGUAGCUGAUUUCGGACUCUCACGGCUUUUUCCGAUGGAUCAAACACACAUCUCCACCGCACCACAAGGCACUCCAGGGUAUGUAGAUCCUGA